CAGUCGUACCUUCGGACAAUCAGCUUUUUGAGUGUGAUUAUGUGGUUUAUGAGGAGUUUAACCGCCUUCAUGUAUUGCAUAUUUGUGCUCUUGGGUGUACUUGUCUGUGUGGUAGGUUAACAUCAAUCUUGGUCGUCAUAAAAUGACUGGAGGAAUGUAGCUUUGGUCUCGUAUCGAAGUGUUAUACG
rnacentral:rRNA from 1 species